rnacentral:rRNA from 1 species
GACGAACGCUGGCGGCGUGCUUAACACAUGCAAGUCGUACGGUAAGGCCCUUUCGGGGGUACACGAGUGGCGAACGGGUGAGUAACACGUGAGUAACCUGCCCACAACUUUGGGAUAACGCUAGGAAACUGGUGCUAAUACUGGAUAUGUUCUCCUGCUGCAUGGUGGGGGUUGGAAAGCUCCGGCGGUUGUGGAUGGACUCGCGGCCUAUCAGCUUGUUGGUGGGGUAGUGGCCUACCAAGGCGGCGACGGGUAGCCGGCCUGAGAGGGUGACCGGCCACAUUGGGACUGAGAUACGGCCCAGACUCCUACGGGAGGCAGCAGUGGGGAAUAUUGCACAAUGGGCGCAAGCCUGAUGCAGCAACGCCGCGUGCGGGAUGACGGCCUUCGGGUUGUAAACCGCUUUCAGCAGGGACGAAGCUUUUUGUGACGGUACCUGCAGAAGAAGCACCGGCUAACUGCGUG